AUUGAACGCUGGCGGCAGGCCUAACACAUGCAAGUCGAGCGGAAACGAUCCUAGCUUGCUAGGAGGCGUCGAGCGGCGGACGGGUGAGUAACGCGUGAGAAUCUACCCAUGAGUGGGGGACAACCCGGGGAAACUCGGGCUAAUACCGCAUACGCCCUACGGGGUAAAGCAGGGGACCUUCGGGCCUUGCGCUGAUGGAUGAGCUCGCGUCGGAUUAGCUUGUUGGUGAGGUAAAGGCUCACCAAGGCGACGAUCCGUAGCUGGUCUGAGAGGAUGAUCAGCCACACCGGGACUGAGACACGGCCCGGACUCCUACGGGAGGCAGCAGUGGGGAAUCUUGGACAAUGGAGGCAACCCUGAUCCAGCCAUGCCGCGUGUGUGAAGAAGGCCUUCGGGUUGUAAAGCACUUUCAGCAGGGAGGAAGGCUUACCCCUAAUACGGGUGAGUACUUGACGUUACCUGCAGAAGAAGCACCGCUAACU
rnacentral:rRNA from 1 species